rnacentral:rRNA from 1 species
AUUGAACGCUGGCGGCAGGCCUAACACAUGCAAGUCGAGCGGACGAAGGGAGCUUGCUCCUGGAUUCAGCGGCGGACGGGUGAGUAAUGCCUAGGAAUCUGCCUGGUAGUGGGGGAUAACGUCCGGAAACGGGCGCUAAUACCGCAUACGUCCUGAGGGAGAAAGUGGGGGAUCUUCGGACCUCACGCUAUCAGAUGAGCCUAGGUCGGAUUAGCUAGUUGGUGGGGUAAAGGCCUACCAAGGCGACGAUCCGUAACUGGUCUGAGAGGGUGAUCAGUCACACUGGAACUGAGACACGGUCCAGACUCCUACGGGAGGCAGCAGUGGGGAAUAUUGGACAAUGGGCGAAAGCCUGAUCCAGCCAUGCCGCGUGUGUGAAGAAGGUCUUCGGAUUGUAAAGCACUUUAAGUUGGGAGGAAGGGCAGUAAGUUAAUACCUUGCUGUUUUGACGUUACCAACAGAAUAAGCACCGGCUAACUUCGUG